rnacentral:lncRNA from 1 species
GAGGGGGGGCAAGGGGGGUCCCAAUAACAGCAUAACAGCAAAUUGAUUUGGCUUAUAACAGAUAACAAGGAAUUAAAAUGGACAAAAACAGAUAACAGUAAAUGAAAUAUUAAAAUAAGUCAGGUCCUGGACUGAUUGAAAGAUUAUGUCUCCAUCAUAUGAAAAGCAAGCACAAUCCCUUCCGUUGCUGAAUUUUUUCAUUAAUUGUAACUCAUAACAACACAGAAACAGGUCCGCAAUAAGUGGUGCACAGUUAGUCCCCAUUGGAAUUCUGAUAGCUUGACAAUAUACGUAAACUCCAUAGCAGACAAACAUG